CCCCCCCCCUCCCCCCAACUCCCUCCAAGCCCAUCAUUCUCUCUCUCUCUUACGCACUUGAUUUUCCCUCCAUUGUUCUCUACUCCAACAAGGUCAUUGCAUGAAAGAAAAGGUAGGAGUGUUAUGUCACCUCUUCCACCUCUUCAUGUACGUGUGCACCUAAAGCGAUCCGCGGCAUCGUGGUGUAUUGGACUCACACAUGGGCGAGAGGACGCAAGUUACAGACCAACAGAUGGUACCAACGGUCAGCAGUCGAUUCCAAGGAGAGACCCGAGGGGACGGAGAUGCUUUUUUCUCAGACUCCUCCAUGAUUAGACCGGUAAAGCAGUUUGCGGCAAACUCCGUAAAGUUAUGAAAAACCAAGCACGGACCACAGCAUCAUCAUGUGGUAAGUUAAUGUAAUAUUAGCACAGACAGGAGCCCAUUAUCCAGGAAACUGACCCCUAAUUUAAAAGCGGUAUUUCAGGCGUAAUUAUUCCACAGGCCCAUAGUUGUUUGAGACCACCGAUUACAUAUACGAAAUUUUAUUGACAUUUCUAUUCUAUUCACUUUGUCAGUGUGAUGCAUGAUUGACAGUGUCAUGUCUACUUCUGAUAGAGUCACAUGUCUGGGUGCUUUAAGAAACACUAGGGUGACACUUGCAAAAAGCCUUGGAAGGGUUUGAAUGGAGUCUACGGGAGAUACAAACAUGGAGACCCAUGAAGCACAGAAGCGUGUGAGUGAAUAGAGACAGACAUAAAGGUAGCGUGUUAAAACAUUAGUGGUUUGGAGCCGUGACAUUUCUGUUCAGCAAACAAAAAGGUAAAGCUGAAAUCUGAAGAGAAAACUGAACAUCUCAUAAAUGAGAAACAUCAGCAGCUCUAUCACACUUUCAAGGUGUAUUUCUAAAGGAAUGUAUACAACUAAUUCAAAACCCUGCUUUAGACCUUAAUAAAGGGAUACGCAGAGAACUGUAUAGGAAAAACACUGAUACUUCAUUAGUCUGGAAAGUUGUGUGAGUCUUUUUCACAGAGGACUUUAAAUGGCAAAAUGAGAAAAGUAAAUUCAAUUUACUGAUGCUUUCUUUACUUUUAUCAACCACGUAGGAUUUACAAGUCAUACAAGCAAUAGUAUCGCACACUGAAGCUGGGACUGAGUUGUGGCAGUUUCACCUGAUUUAAUAAUGCUAGUGAUUUAAUAGGUGCCAGUGCGUGAAAAGCAGCUGCCUUUUCUUUGCAGCGCGCUGCUGCCACCUUGUGCCGGUUGGAUUCCAACUGCAAGACCGAGGUUUGCUGAGUGAGGCUCAAACCAUCAUGGUGGGAAACUGCAAUGGCUUCACAAGUCCUGAGAAGUCGGCGGGAUGCUGGAAGGCAGGAGGCUUCCAAAAGGUUGUACGCAACAUGUGUUCCGUUCACUAUUCAAAGAGGAACGCACCGAUCUCCUCAGUCAAACGUUUCAGAUUGGACUUUAAGGGACGAUGACGUUUUGGAACUGGAAGUACAUUUGAUUUCCCAUCAAAGUGUACAAACAUGUUUUGUAUUGUUUUGCAUUACAUCUGAUUCCCCUACUGAUCACUGAUUACUGGUUAAACCUGAAUGAUCUCUCUAAGUGUCACUUAUCAGUGGCAAGGAGUUGCUUCAUGGUAUAUCAUUGCUGAUGCAGCAGGUAGGGGGGGGGGGGGGGGUAUGUUACACAAGCUCAAUGCUGACAUAUACUGUAACCCAAAACUGGUUUAUAUAAUAGAGAUUCAUUCAUUCAUUAGGCUUUCGAUUGUAAAUCUGCAUUUAAGCCUCAUGUGAUCAUCCACGUGUUUUGAUCUCUUUUCAUCUGUAAAUGAGCACGAAGCGGUUUGGCUUUGGACAUUCUGCUUUUCCCAUCUGCCCCCUCAUGUGUUCAUGUAGCUAAUAUGCAGAUGAGCCAAUGAAUAGGUUUGUAUUGCUCCUGCAAACAAGGCCCCAUAAUACCCACAGACCUCCUGCAGCCUACACGGUGUCUCUGUGUGCACAAGGAGCGAAUAUGCAUUCUGUCCAAAUCCCGUUUAAAGGCUGCGAUGCUGCAGGGCAGUCAUGUCAAUAAAGGCUAAGUAGAGCCGUAUAGACGGAGGAGAGAGGGGGGGGGGGGGGAUGACCACAACAGACCACAAUUCAGUUUAACUGAAAGCAGUCCAGGAAAAGCCACAAUAUAAUGUUGGGUUUUCAAUGGGCGACUUCCAUCAAACUCGGGACACGAUGGAAUAACAAUUGACCAUGAUAUCCCAUUACAACCAUUAUCUCUCUCUCUCUUUCUCACACACACACACACACACACACACACACACACACACACACACACACACACACACACACACACACACACACACACACACACACAGUGACAUAUGAUGGAAAGGGCCUCAAGCUGCAGCGGUUUUCGGGUGCUAUCAUGCCAUUGAGCUGUUGGUCCUCGUCUGUUUCGCGGUCUGGAUCGAUUUGUCUCUUUCGGGUUUCUUACCGGAGAACAGCAGCAGCAUCGCCGCGCUCAGCAGCUGGACGCCGGUCCUCCUUUCCUGCGCCGGCGAAGACAUUUUCUCUCCUUCUUAUUAGACUAUGAACAAGGAUGGGUUAGUAAAAUAUUACGUCUGACAGAAAAAGAGCAGCAAAUCGUUAUUGUGUGCAUUAAAAUCCUAAAUCUUUCUGUUUUUUUUAAAAGGGGAUUCAGAGGCAGUUCGUGGCUGACGGUGUCUGACGCCUAGUGGUAGUUGGUCUCGUGGUUGUCGGCUCGCUGGAGGCGUGGGAGGGAGGGCGGUGCAGGAAACCGCUGGAAUAAGAUGGAGGAUGACUCAAUAAUAAUAAUAAUAAUAAUAACUAUCGUAAAAAAUCUAUUAGAGCAACAUAUAAGCGUAGAAGGGGGACAUUUAAAAUCACGUGGGUGACAACGUGCAAACACGACGAUCCAACUGACCAUUUGUUAAUCACAUAAGAUACAUUUAUUUCUCAAUCGAAAUUCAAUAACGACUAUUUCAGGAUGUAACAUCAGCUAUUGUAUGUUACACCUUAAUGAAUACGUGUGUAACAUUACGUUUACGUUGGCUUUGUGUAAAUAAUGUCUGCGUUAUGGCAUCAUUCUACUCAGAAGAACGAGGCUGCCGUGCAGGCAAACAGACAAAUAAGCAGAGAACCAGAUCGACCUCCCUCUUUCAACCCGUUCCUCCAUCCAUCCUUCUGUGGAGGAGAAAUAAAAGAAAAGACAAAAGGCGUCGACUAACUGGUGGUCACAGGUUUCACCUGACCAUCCGUCUCCUAAAGGUUUACUCACUGGGGGGCGAAGAGGGUGUGGUUUGAAAGAAAUAAAGGCUGGAUUAAACUCAAUUAAAACAUAGGAUAAGACUCAAUAUUUCCUCCGAGCUGAGUAAUAUUCUAAUGUAACGGAUGUAAUGUAAGGGAAGAAAUGGCUGAUGCCAUCGCAUGGAGUGUAUAGGAAUGAGAGGAGCAUUAGCUGAGACAGGAAGACGGGAGUACAUUAAAAGGCAGGAGGCACUUAGUGGUUUGAAAACAUGAAGCCAUUAUAGCGAUGUGAUAAUGGAGGCAGAAAAAUAGGCUUGGUUGGUUCCGCCGCUGUAAGGAAAAUUGACAGCAUAUUUGGUCUGUCCGCCUCUUCAUCUGCAUUGAGGUCAUAUGCAUGAACACCACUGUUCCUGCAAAAAGUCAGAACAGUCUGGGAAAGAUACUUCUGUGGUAAAAGGUGAUGUCACUUUUCUCUGUGCACCAAUCGCAGUUCGGCGACAUACUCAAUAUGUGCUUAUUUUGCUGCCACUGUGGGUCACAUUCAAUCAAACCACACCUGCUCAAUCACGUUGAAACAUAUGGGCUGACUAACACAUAGGAUUUGUGAUUGUUGGAAUGAUGGAAAUCCAUAAAACUGUUUAAAAAGAUUGUAUGUAGUUAGUAGAUAUUUUACGUUCAUCUGUGUGGUAAUUGUUACAUGUUGAUUUCUUUUCGCCCUGAUUUUAUUUAAAAUAUUCUUAACAGUACCAAACAUCCUCAAACCUAUAGUAACUUAAGAUAUUGUCUCCAAGCAGCCAAAAUAUGCGACAAUGACCGGUUACAACCAUCAAGCAAAGGUAGUGGAAGAAAUAAUGUGUUCUAAAUUGACUCUUUGGCCUGAGGCUGGUGCUACAUUGGAGCUCGUAAUGUGUCCAAAAUGAAGAUAAUCCCAUGAUUGAUUGUGUGAAGCGUGAAUGUGUAGUUCAUGUGGAACUGCGGAUAGUGUAUUUUUAUUUAUGUGCACCAUUUGACAGAACCGAGUCCCAUCAGAACACAGAUAUCAACGAUAAAGGUCGCACACUGAACUAGUCAGCUUGACAAAUUAUUUAACGCUGGAGUCAAUGAGAGAUUGACAAUCUCUCCGCUGUGCCAGACCACACAGGUGACAAAACGCAAGAUGAACUGUAGUCACACACUCUGAUAAUGCCCUUAGCAGUUGAAAGGCCUAAAAGUUUAACAGCAGUUUCUAAAGGCAGCAGCUUAGAGGUGUUGUCUUGUGUUGUGUUGUCUUGUUGGAAACUGCGCUGUCUUUCUAAUAUGUCAGAGCUGCUGAAGCAACCAGUGAAUCAUGUUCCAGCUAGUGACAUACUCAUUAUAAUACAGCAUAUUAAUGAAAUAAUACAAGGACUGUCCUCUUCCUCCCUGUCCCCCUUUCCCUCCCAUGUUUUUUCUGCAGAGAGACGUUUCCUUGGUUGCUAGGCAGCAGGGUUAUUAUAGAAGAGUGAAUCACUGCUGCGCUGACUGUUGCUGAUUUAUUACAGACAAUCAGAGACUGAAAAGUGUGUGGCUUUCUGGAUCUAAGAGGACGAGCAGGAACAGUUUGUUCUUCAUCUCUCUUGAAGGACCAACCUUAGAAGACCAUCUUCAUACAACCUGGCACCUGAUUUUGGACAGAGUAAGUAUACAAUGUCAUGAGAAACUGUACCUAUGAACAAAAAUAUCUAUUACAAUAAAGAAAGCGUGCAACAACUUUCUGGGUUCUUUGUGUCAAAUUAGAUCACAGUUUUCUGCUGAAGUUGUACAUUGUUGUCAUUUAUUUUUGGUCUUUUCGGACCCCUUUGACAAAUUGUCAAAGUGCUAAUUGGAUUUAAGCAUAUCAGGAGAUGUGUGUUUGUGUAAUGAAGGAAGGUGUGGCCCAAGGAGAUCAACCCCAUACACUAUAUCAAGGUGUGCAUUAUUAUUAGGCAGCGUCUUUUCCUCAGGUAAAACGGGCCUGAAAAGAGAUCUAACUGACUCUGAAAAGUCAGAAGUGGUAACGAGUCUUUCAGAGGGAACCAGCACUCUUGAAAUUGCAAAGAUAUUGGGCCGUGAUCCCGGAACAAUUAAACGUUUUGUUGUACAUAGCCAAAAGG